rnacentral:rRNA from 1 species
GUCUGCUGCCAUACCACUUUGAACGUGCCUGAUGUUGGAAGCUACUAAGCAGGGUUAGGCCUGGUUAGACUUGGUAUGGGAGACCACAUGGGCACACCAGGUGCUGUAGAGU